CCCUUAGAUGUUCUGGGCCGCACGCGCGCUACAAUGAUAAAUUCAACGAGUUUAUAACCUUGGUUGAAAAGCCUGGGUAAUCUUUUGAACUUUCGUCGUGAUGGGGCUAGACCCUUGCAAUUAUUGGUCUCCAACGAGGAAUUCCUAGUAAACGCAAGUCAUCAGCUUGCAUUGAUUACGUCCCUGCCCUUUGUACACAUUGCCCGUCGCACCUACCGAUUGAAUGGUCCGGUGAAAUCUUCGGAUUGAGACUUUGUUUUCUUCACGGAAAACGCUGUUUUAAAAAGUUGAUUAAACCUUACCAUUUAGAGGAAGGUGAAGUCGUAACA
rnacentral:rRNA from 1 species